AGGAUGAACGCUGGCGGCGUGCCUAAUACAUGCAAGUCGAGCGAACGGACGAGAAGCUUGCUUCUCUGAUGUUAGCGGCGGACGGGUGAGUAACACGUGGAUAACCUACCUAUAAGACUGGGAUAACUUCGGGAAACCGGAGCUAAUACCGGAUAAUAUUUUGAACCGCAUGGUUCAAAAGUGAAAGACGGUCUUGCUGUCACUUAUAGAUGGAUCCGCGCUGCAUUAGCUAGUUGGUAAGGUAACGGCUUACCAAGGCAACGAUGCAUAGCCGACCUGAGAGGGUGAUCGGCCACACUGGAACUGAGACACGGUCCAGACUCCUACGGGAGGCAGCAGUAGGGAAUCUUCCGCAAUGGGCGAAAGCCUGACGGAGCAACGCCGCGUGAGUGAUGAAGGUCUUCGGAUCGUAAAACUCUGUUAUUAGGGAAGAACAUAUGUGUAAGUAACUGUGCACAUCUUGACGGUACCUAAUCAGAAAGCCACGGCUAACUACGUGCCAGCAGCCGCGGUAAUACGUAGGUGGCAAGCGUUAUCCGGAAUUAUUGGGCGUAAAGCGCGCGUAGGCGGUUUUUUAAGUCUGAUGUGAAAGCCCACGGCUCAACCGUGGAGGGUCAUUGGAAACUGGAAAACUUGAGUGCAGAAGAGGAAAGUGGAAUUCCAUGUGUAGCGGUGAAAUGCGCAGAGAUAUGGAGGAACACCAGUGGCGAAGGCGACUUUCUGGUCUGUAACUGACGCUGAUGUGCGAAAGCGUGGGGAUCAAACAGGAUUAGAUACCCUGGUAGUCCACGCCGUAAACGAUGAGUGCUAAGUGUUAGGGGGUUUCCGCCCCUUAGUGCUGCAGCUAACGCAUUAAGCACUCCGCCUGGGGAGUACGACCGCAAGGUUGAAACUCAAAGGAAUUGACGGGGACCCGCACAAGCGGUGGAGCAUGUGGUUUAAUUCGAAGCAACGCGAAGAACCUUACCAAAUCUUGACAUCCUUUGACAACUCUAGAGAUAGAGCCUUCCCCUUCGGGGG
rnacentral:rRNA from 1 species